rnacentral:rRNA from 1 species
ACGGGAGGCAGCAGUGGGGAAUAUUGGACAAUGGGGGAAACCCUGAUCCAGCGACGCCGCGUGAGUGAAGAAGUAUUUCGGUAUGUAAAGCUCUAUCAGCAAGGAAGAAAAUGACGGUACUUGACUAAGAAGCCCCGGCUAACUACGUGCCAGCAGCCGCGGUAAUACGUAGGGGGCAAGCGUUAUCCGGAUUUACUGGGUGUAAAGGGAGCGUAGACGGCAUAGCAAGUCUGAAGUGAAAUGCAUGGGCUCAACCCAUGAACUGCUUUGGAAACUGUUAAGCUAGAGUGCAGGAGAGGUAAGUGGAAUUCCUAGUGUAGCGGUGAAAUGCGUAGAUAUUAGGAGGAACACCAGUGGCGAAGGCGGCUUACUGGACUGUAACUGACGUUGAGGCUCGAAAGCGUGGGGAGCAAGCAGGAUUAGAUACCCUGGUA